rnacentral:rRNA from 1 species
AGCAGCCGCGGUAAUUCCAGCUCCAAUAGCGUAUAUCAAAGUUGUUGCAGUUAAAAAGCUCGUAGUUGAAUUUCAGGCCUGGCUGGGCGGUCCGCCUUUUGGGUGAGUACUGCCUGUGGUCGGGUCCUACCUUCUGGCGAAGCGUCAUGGCCUUAACCGGCCGUGGCGGGGAACCAGGACUUUUACUGUGAAAAAUUAGAGUGUUCAAAGCAGGCAUUCGCUUGAAUACAUUAGCAUGGAAUAAUGGAAUAGGACAGUGGUUCUAUUUGUUGGUUUCUAGGACCGUUGUAAUGAUUAAUAGGGAUAGU